rfam:Malassezia sympodialis ATCC 42132 genomic scaffold, msy_sf_4
UCCCGGCUAGCUCAGUCGGUAGAGCGUCAGACUCUUAAUAAGAGUCUCCUCGGUUACGAGGGGUUAUCUGAAUGUCGUGGGUUCGAGCCCCACGUUGGGAG